rnacentral:rRNA from 1 species
CCUACGGGAGGCAGCAGUGGGGAAUAUUGCACAAUGGACGAAACCCUGAUGCAGCAACGCCGCGUGAAGGAAGACGGUUUUCGGAUUGUAAACUUCUGUUUUUAGUGAAGAAUAAUGACGGUAGCUAAGGAGCAAGCCACGGCUAACUACGUACCAGCAGCCGCGGUAAUACGUAGGUGGCAAGCGUUGUCCGGAAUUACUGGGUGUAACGGGAGCGCAGGGGGGAAGCCAAGUCAGCUGUGAAAACUACGGGCUUAACUGGUAGACUGCAGUUGAAACUGGUUUUGUUGUGUGAAGUAGGGUUUGGCGGAAGUCCGGGUGUAGCGGUGACAUGCGUAGAUAUUCGGGGAACACCGGUGGCGAAGGCGGCCAACUGGGCUUUAACUGACGCUGAGGCUCGAAAGUGUGGGGAGCAAACAGGAUUAGAUACCCUUGUAGUC